rnacentral:rRNA from 1 species
UGCAGUCGAACGAGAUUUUGCCUUUCGAGUCUUCGGAUGAGGAAGGUUGAUGAUAGUGGCGAAAGGGUGAGUAAUGCGUGGGUAAUCUACCUUGAAGUUGGGGAUACCCCUGCGAAAGUGGGGUUAAUACCGAAUGUGGUGAGUUUCCGCAUGGAGACGAAUCCAAAAGCGGGUCGCAAGACCUGUUGCUUUAAGAUGAGCCCACGUCCUAUCAGCUAGUUGGUGAGGUAACGGCUCACCAAGGCUUACGGGUAGCCGACCUGAGAGGGUGAUCGGCCACACUGGGACUGAGACACUGCCCAGACUCCUACGGGAGGCUGCAGUCGAGAAUCUUGGACAAUGCGCGAAAGCGUGAUCCAGCGACGCCGCGUGGAGGAUGAAGGUCUUCGGAUUGUAAACUCCUGUUGUCAGGGAGCAACCGGUGGUGUGCUAAUACCACAUCGCUCUGAUAGUACCUGACGAGAAAGCCACGGCUAACUCUGUGCCAGCAGCCGCGGUAAUACAGAGGUGGCAAGCGUUGUUCGGAUUUACUGGGCGUAAAGGGUGCGUAGGAGGUCGUGUGUGUCGGAUGUGAAAUCUUGCUGUUCAUCGGCAAAACUGCAUUCGAAACUACAUGGCUAGAGUGCAGGAGAGGAGAGCAGAAUUCUCGGUGUAGCGGUGAAAUGCGUUGAUAUCGAGAGGAAUGCCGGUGGUGAAGACGGCUCUCUGGACUGUAACUGACUCUGAGGCACGAAAGCUAGGGGAGCAAACAGGAUUAGAUACCCUGGUAGUCCUAGCCGUAAACGGUGUGCACUUGGUGUGGGGAGGAUUUAUCCCCUUCCGUGCCGGAGCUAACGCGUUAAGUGCACCGCCUGGGGGAGUACGGCCGCAAGGCUAAAACUCAAAGAAAUUGACGGGGGGCCCGCACAAGCGGUUGGAGCAUGUGGCUUUAAUUCGAUGCAACGCGAAGAACCUUACCAAGGCUUGACAUGCAAUUUGCACGCCCAGCGAAAGCUGGGCUCCU